rnacentral:snRNA from 1 species
GUUUCUUUCACUUUGGCAGCACAUAUUCUAAAAUUGGAAUGAUACAGAGAAGAUUAGCAUGGCCCCUGUGCAAAUUCGUGAAGCAUUCCAUAAUUUU